rnacentral:rRNA from 1 species
AACGAACGCUGGCGGCAUGCCUAACACAUGCAAGUCGAACGAGACCUUCGGGUCUAGUGGCGCACGGGUGCGUAACGCGUGGGAACCUGCCCUUAGGUUCGGAAUACCUCCCCGAAAGGGGUGCUAAUACCGGAUAAUUUCUUCGGACCAAAGAUUUAUCGCCUUUGGAUGGGCCCGCGUUGGAUUAGCUAGUUGGUAGGGUAAAAGCCUACCAAGGCGACGAUCCAUAGCUGGUCUGAGAGGAUGAUCAGCCACACUGGGACUGAGACACGGCCCAGACUCCUACGGGAGGCAGCAGUGGGGAAUAUUGGACAAUGGGCGAAAGCCUGAUCCAGCAAUGCCGCGUGAGUGAUGAAGGCCUUAGGGUUGUAAAGCUCUUUUACCCGGGAUGAUAAUGACAGUACCGGGAGAAUAAGCUCCGGCUAACUCCGUG